UCCAAAGAAGAAGAAAAAACGAGUGGAAGCAGAGUGUGGGGGGAACAAUGGCCGUCGCCGGAGGAGAUCGCCGCGGCCUCCGCCGCGUCGACACCGUCACCGUCGCCAACGCUUCUCCUUCCGAUUCCCUCGAGAGAAGCAGCAACCUGUCUACGGUCCCUGCCGUCUCCAAGCUCCAAGGCUGGGCAGAACUCCCGGAUGCCCUGCUUCACUCCAUUGUUGAUCUGUUGGGAUCCUUCACUGACUUUCUUUCCUUCGCUUCCACCUGACACCCUUGGCGUGCUGCCUUCUCCUCGGGUCUGAUCAGUGGCGGUGCCAGAAGUUCAAAAAGCAGAGACUUUUGCAGCUUGGAUUGGACAGGGGAUGUUCAUAGUGGAAGGAGCACUUAAGCUUUCGCAGCUAGUUUCAUCCUCUAGUUUUGCACCUUGUAAGAGAUCUUCAUGGUGGCAACUCAAGCUUCUGCAGUUUGUUAUGUCUUCUGUUUAGCUCUGCUGUUUAGGGCAAAUUUUCCUGAAGUUAUAUAUAUACUACGGCCUUGUGAUUUAUCAGGCAUGGGCAAGGGAUUCUUCGUCGGUUCUUGUAACAUGAGUGGCCUUAGAUGCAUGGCUUGAUUCCAGGUUGCAAUUGCAUCAAAAUGACUGUUGACUGAAAUGAAAAGAGCACCUGGUUUGUUGUAUGGUUGCUGUCCCUCAACAGAGCUUCAAAGUUGCAUCUGUCAUCUGGAUUGAUUUUAUAUUAUGAGAAUUUGCUGCAGAAGAUUCAGUGGAUUGGAAAUUGUUUAAUUUCCAAGUUCGUUCUAAGCAGAAACCAUGGGAGCAGAGCAGAUCGACGAAUCACUAAGUGAUGUACAAUGAAUUUUCAGUGGUACCAUGAAAGAUGUAAGUUACACUUGGUGUCUAGAUGAUAGAGGACCGUACGAGCGAGGACCUAAUUGGUUAACUCUUCGUGUACAUGGUGACUUGACAAAGCGAGGCGUGAGAGGAGGUUUCCGCUUUAAUGCAGCGGGUUGAGAGGGGAGAUACUAUCUCACAACGAGACCAACUCUCAUGGUUGAGCCGUUUUGAUGAGAAGCUACGCAUGAUUUACUAUUACAUGUAGACGAUCUUCGGAUGUUUCAGUUCCUCGUCCAGCACAUGUCCGCCAUGUCCCUCUCUGCAGUGUUCAGAACCACGACCCUCUGUGCACCGUCCAGAACCAUGACCCUCUGUGCACCGUUUAGAACCACGUUCUUCACAACCAGGGACCUCUUCCUGGCGUCAGCCACCUCCUUCACAACCAGGGAGCUCUUACUAGCAGCAUCAAAUGGAACUAGUCGACAACCAGUCGCAACUGUUCAUGCAUUCAGUGCAGUCACCGAUGCUUAGUGGUGCUGCUUUGUUCUUAGAGGGCGACGGCGACGCCGACGACCAAGCUGCAAACACUUAUGACUUAUCGCAGACAGUGCUUCACACUCCACGACCUCCACUGACGCAGGAAACACAGACAGUGACACGCGAGGUUAUCUAUGGUCAUGGCUAUCGUGAGGCUCGUCCACCGCGUGAGUGCUUAUCACCUUCCGGUCCUUGUCCGAGGGAGAUACAGAUUCGUCGUCGACCCCAGCAAUGAUAU